UAAUACGGAGGGAGCAAGCGUUGUUCGGAAUUACUGGGCGUAAAGGGCGCGUAGGCGGUCGGGUAAGUCGGGUGUGAAAUUCCGGGGCUCAACCCCGAGAACUGCAUUCGAUACUGCUCGACUUGAGAGAGGUAGGGGCGAGUGGAAUUCCCGGUGUAGCGGUGGAAUGCGUAGAUAUCGGGAAGAACACCGGUGGCGAAGGCGGCUCGCUGGACCUUUUCUGACGCUGAAGCGCGAAAGCGUGGGGAGCAAACAGGAUUAGAUACCCUGGUAGUCCACGCCGUAAACGAUGGGUACUAGGUGUUGGGAGGAUUGACCCUUUCAGUGCCGACGCUAACGCAUUAAGUACCCCGCCUGGGGAGUACGGUCGCAAGGCUG
rnacentral:rRNA from 1 species